rnacentral:rRNA from 1 species
CCUGGUGGCGAGUGGCGAACGGGUGAGUAAUACAUCGGAACGUGCCCAAUCGUGGGGGAUAACGCAGCGAAAGCUGUGCUAAUACCGCAUACGAUCUACGGAUGAAAGCAGGGGAUCGCAAGACCUUGCGCGAAUGGAGCGGCCGAUGGCAGAUUAGGUAGUUGGUGAGGUAAAGGCUCACCAAGCCUUCGAUCUGUAGCUGGUCUGAGAGGACGACCAGCCACACUGGGACUGAGACACGGCCCAGACUCCUACGGGAGGCAGCAGUGGGGAAUUUUGGACAAUGGGCGAAAGCCUGAUCCAGCCAUGCCGCGUGCAGGAUGAAGGCCUUCGGGUUGUAAACUGCUUUUGUACGGAACGAAACGGCCUUUUCUAAUAAAGAGGGCUAAUGACGGUACCGUAAGAAUAAGCACCGGCUAACUACGUGCCAGCAGCCGCGGUAAUACGUAGGGUGCAAGCGUUAAUCGGAAUUACUGGGCGUAAAGCGUGCGCAGGCGGUAAUGUAAGACAGUUGUGAAAUCCCCGGGCUCAACCUGGGAACUGCAUCUGUGACUGCAUUGCUGGAGUACGGCAGAGGGGGAUGGAA